rnacentral:lncRNA from 1 species
GAGAAGAAGGUCUUGGGCACCCCAUGAACGUGUGCGUAGGGUAACCUUCUUUAUUUACAGCAAUAUAUCGGUGACUAAAUGUCAACGGAAACAGAAGCAAGUACUUGUUAGGUCGAUUUAUAGUUCGACAUCCAUCAAGCUUGUAAGAACUGAUGACGAAAAUGCAAUGACCUAUUCUUGAGCACAGAUGAUCAGUAAGCAUACAAGAAGAUAAGGUUGCAAUUCGUGCCUUGCUGACCAUGCUUGAUGUUGUGGGAAACAGUCUGGAGCCGUGGCCUCGGGGCCGACGCGGCUCGGCUCGGAUCCGGAUGACGGGGGAUCUUCCCAUGACCGGUUUCGAAUCCGCCGAGAUGGUCGGUUACGGUGGUCCAAUUCGGGACGGGAUCAGCCGUCUCCGCUGGAGGGGCCUCCUUGGCUGGGGACGCACCCCGUCUUCUUUCCUGCACACAAGUCGGGUCGGGAGGCUCGACCCGACCCCUCCGACGAUCGAGUCAGUAGAUAGUGGAGGGGGUUUCGGAAGAAGAAGAGUUUGAGGUAUCUCCCUGGUGUAUUCUCUCCUCCGUCCUCCCUCCCUCCUCCCUCACGCUCGUUUAGAGUGCGAGGGUAUUUAUAAGGAGGCUUACUGUUUCCUGAUGUGCCCGCUUGCAGGGGGUAGGCUGAUAACGUCUGACACUGGCGUGGCGUGAAGAACCGAGCCUGAGCAGGCGUUAAUGUGCCUCGACCGGCGUUCUAGUUCGUUUGACCAGGUGUCGUUGUGUCGUCCGAGGCGUGAGGCGUCAUCUGACGUCAACCGAGUCUUAUCAUAAUUACUAUCCUCAUCACUUGACAUCAUUUUUCCUUUACUGGCUCUUCUCGCAUUGCUGGACUCAUACCGACAAUUUCUUCAUUUUCCUUUCGUUUAAUCUUGUUAAUUUUUGGAUAUUUAAGUUGGUCACCCGUUGUAUCAGACGAAGAAAAGAAAGAAAGAAAGAAAACCUCAUGCUCGUCUUGUUUGUUAUCUAUUUAAGAAAGAAUAUACAGAUAGAAUAUUUCUUCUUCUAUAAUCUUAAGCUUUAAAAUACCAUGUAUGGAACAAGCUGUGAUCAAAUCCUGACUGUGUGCAUCUCUUUCCUAACGAGAUCUCAUUAAUCUAAAGAGGAGGACUAAUCAAGACAACUAUAGCAAAGAAAGAUUUAGAGUACCAGUACUCAAAAGGGAAAUCCUAGCAACUACAGUCUCAUUUGAGCAGUUUGGAUGUAACCAGUCUCAUGGCUUCCACCACGCAAGAAGUUUCUCUUCAAAAAAUAUAACAAAACCUUCAAUCCAACAAACGAGUCUUAACAAAGCUGGAUAAGAACAUAUCAGAAUGGUGAGUCUCAUCGGCGCUUUCUAAGAUAUAUCUGGUGGAAGAGGCCGGAGGAGGAGACGUAGGGGGAGGCAGAAGCAUUCAGGAUCUCUCAAUUUAAUACAAAUAUUUAGAUUUGAUAACAGACCUCGUUACAGAAGUUUCACGGCGCAGAAGAGGCACAAUCGACCAUGCAUGCACUCAACUCACAGAGCGAUUAAAGAUCACAACAUUACUGAACUGGGAUCAAGGUGUUCUUAUUAUACUCAAACUGUUGAUGAAGUCAGACACUGCAAAUCAUCCCUAUUUAUUUAUCCCCAAACAAGUAGCCAAGUGAUGAGCUUCCACCAGGAACUGACUGAACCUUCGUAAAUGGGCGACCCUGUGAAAACAAAGCAAAAGAAAUCGUUUCACUGUUUUCACAUCAAAGAUGGCGGCAACAUGGUCUAAAUAUUAGCAAGAAUGCAGGUUAUAAAUACUGCUCACAGUGAUGAAGUUCCCUGAAUUCUGGCCUCGAGCUCUGUAGUAGUUGUUGGUGGAAACAGGUUUGUUCGGUGCAGCAGAUUGGUCUGUUGCUUUGGUCUUGCUAUCUUCAUCAGAUGGAGGCUUCUGCUGCCCGGUCGACUUGGGAGAUCCCUCGAAGGAGGUGGUGCCCUCGUCUGACUCAAAGAGGUAACUCAAAGAGCUUUUGCCGCCCCCGAAGCUCUCACCUCUACUCAUGCUUUGCUUCUUCCACGAAACUUUCUGUACUAUAGAGUUGCCAGCACUUCUGAGAAGAUGGCGUACGUUGAUAUAGUACGAGAAUGGGGUCUUGUUUAUGAUGAUGGCAUGCACACUACAUGAUCAUCAUACAUGCAGACAUGUGUUUGAUAGAAUGGUUUAUACUCACACUAAAGCAAAGAUAGAAUGGUUUCUCGUGGUUAAGAGCAUGCAAUGACUUCAUGAACAUCAACAUGUCUGAACAUACCGCUUAAGUGCCAUCUCACAAAGGAGAUGAAGUUGGUUAAAGGUCGUUGUACGAUGGGUUCAAAGGGAGCUGGAACAGCAGGACUUCCAGAUUGCAUCUGCUAAUGCUAGCGUCCGAAGACAGCAUUCCAUGAACUACCGUAUAUUAGCGGAGUUGCUUCUACUUGCAACAGGUGUCAUAGUCCAUAUGUACGUUGGUCAAGAAAGAGGCAGCACAAUCUCUGGUUUGAUUCUGAUAAGAUAGCAUUAAGUGAAGGAUCGCGAUCAUAAGACAUCCUUGAAGAAAGAAAAAGCACGGUAACGACCCUACCUGCAGAUAAGGCGGUACUUCAGGAGAGCACGGCUUCCACGUCCUAUGAAGUGAGGGGAAGCAUAACAUCGUUCACUGGUUGACGGUGAGUUAGGCGCCAUCUCACAUCGGAUUAAGGUGGGCUUUGAUAUCAAACUUUUGAUAUGAAAGGACAUGGGAGGGACAGAGUGAGGUCUGGUCCUGUGUUCGUCUGGUGCGCAGCUGCUGCGUUGAAGUUUCUCCGUUUCUAGCCACCAGUCUCCUUCGUCUAUUGUUCUUCGAGGGGAUCACGGUCCGGCCCGAGAUACAUUGUCAUUUUGGGCUGGGGUCAACCUUAAUGACAUGUAAUGAGAUAAGAAGGGGCCGGGCCUACGUAAGUUGGUGAGUCGUCACGUGUAGCUUCUGAUGGGCCCUACUUCUGGUUCGGCCUACCUCGCCUCGUAGGCGUUUGGUCUCUCUCUCAAGUCGGCUUCCUCCUUCUUUGCCAAGAAAAGCAACUCUGGUCCGGUGGAGGAUCUGGAACCCCCGUGGCAAGAACGAUCUCCGACGGCCCGGAAGCAGCGAUCUAUCGGCGGCAGCGACGGGCUUGGCGUCGGCCUCUGCCGCUGGACCGAAGGCAUGGUCCGCUGCCUUCCGCCUCAUGAGGCAAAUGGUUUGUUAUCUCCUUUUCAGAAGCAUUUGCGCAUAUCUACCAAUUGACAUCUGUUUAUAAUCGUUGCUUCGGCUCCUACUUUUGUACCAUUCUUGGUUAUUGAAUCCUUUUCUCUCCCCUCAUCUUCGUCCGUGGAUAGAUGGAUCGAUCGCAUUGCCAUUUCUUCGUUCUUGAAACGAUGGUGGUAAACCGAACUUCUCGCUCGCGUAUUUUCUUGCAGGGAUGGGACGAAGGCGAGGCCUUGGCAAAGACGAGCAAGGCAUUCAGGACAGGUAUUGGCGUAGAUAGAUCUUUCAAAACUGCAUUAUUGACACCUCUCAGUUUGACAAUUUCCUCAAUAUAUAUUCAAAGCGGUGAUUCUCUUAUGAAAUCGAGUAUUACUUAUGAGAUUUUUUUUUUUUGCGUUGAUCAAUGAUCAAUCUUUGGAACACUUGCAUAGACAUCCUGAUACUCAAUAUCGAGUUGUGCUCUUUACUAUCUUGUGUCGUAUUCUGUUUCAAUCAUCUCUAUUUGGUAGAACCAUCGAAGGGAGAUGAUGCUGAUCAAAUUAAGUCUAGACAAGAUGCACUGGAGCAUGAUGUGGUCAAUGAAGGUUGACUCGUACCCCUCAACUUUAUAUCAUUCCUUAAGCUUAUAAUUUUCUUUUUGAAGUAACUAGAAAGAUCCUUAGUUAUUAAUAGGUACAAAAAAAAGGAGAGAGGGGGAAGAUUGUGAAAGCAUACUCGGAAGACCUUCAAGGAAUUCUUGUAAAGUAUUAUCCUGUUACUUCCUCCUUUUUGUUCCAUUCGAGUUUGAUCUUUUGCCAUGUUAUUUUGAUAUCACCAAUUGAAUUUGUUAGGUUGCUUGUAUUAAGGCAUUCUGAUGAGUGUCACACCUCUUGUGUUUUAGACUUUUUUCUUGAUUAGUUAUAUGUCCUCACCACCCUGUUCAUGUAUGAGAGCAAAUUUGUUCAUGGAAUGGUAUAUGCAGGGAAACAAACUGAAGAGAAUUGUCUUAAUGAUCUUGAUCCACCCAUCGAACAUCCUUUUCUAGUGGCUGAUCCACAUGUUCCUCAAGUUUUGGGUGAAGUAAUAUAUUUCAAUGUCCUAUCACGAGUGUCUUUUUCAGUCCUUCUGCAUUUCCAUUUGCUUUCAUGUAUCCUCAUCAACAUGUAUCUUCAUGUUGAUGCUGUUAAUUAUAGCUGCCAGAACAUAUUGAUAGAAUAUAUGUUUUUUAAGAUUGAAAUAGGUCUUAAUGUUAUUUUAUGAGAGGCAUAGGAAUGUAAUCAUCGAUAACACAGACAGUUAAAUACUUUAAGUUGAUGAAGAUUUGAAGGUUUGUGAAAUAGUAUUUCAAAUGGGGAACUGGAGUAAAUAUACGAUUAAUAAGAUAGACUAUAGUUUGAAGAUUGCUGAUCAAAAGGUUGGAGGCCUGAUGUAGAAGUGUAAGACUAGUUUCAACUAUAUGUCGAUGUUUGCGUUCGAUAGAGCCAACUAGUUGAGAAGUAUGUAAGGGUGACUUGAGGUGUUGUAUACUACAAGCUGAGAAACAUGAUGUCAUGGCUUGAUAUUUACCUCCAUCAUUAAUCAUCAGAGUAAACUGUUUUGAUUGUAGACUGAAAGUAGUUCUCGACCAACUUACUAAAGUUAGUAAAUAUUGUGAAAACUUUAGAUUUAUGGUGAAGAGGAUAUAACCAUGUGUACUUAGUGAAAUAAUCUACAAAAAUGAUAUAAAAUCUGAAUUUAUCAAAAGAAAUGGUUGGAGUAGGGCCCUAAACAUCGGUAUAAAUACUUUCAAAUGGUUUAGAACAAGAUAUGGAGGAUGUGCCAAAGGGUUGUCUAUGACUUUUAUUGCUAAGACAAGCAUCAUAAUGAGUUAUAAAGUUACUUGAUUUAAAAAUAAGAAGAGAAUAAUGAGAAAGUAAUUUCUGCUGGAUAAGGGACGAGGGAUGACCAAGACAACGAUGCCGCAUAUCAAUUGGAGCUGUAAUUAAAGAGUGAACAGUGGGCUGAGUUAUUUAUGGAGCUGACGACCAUUUGUAAAUGUUGCCUCUAUUCUGGCCUUGGACCAAGAAUGCCCCGAUGCUCAAAUCCUUGACAAGAAAAGAGUUAGGAAAGAAUUCAAUUGAAGUAUUGUCGUGUUUGUAGAAUUGAGAAACGGAAAUGAGGUUUCGUUUAAUGUGAGGUGCAUACAGAACAUCAUCGAGUGUAAAAGUUACGGUAUAUGAAUUAAGCGUUGUGGAACUAGUAUGAGUAAUAGGAAUUCCUUUACCAUCACCGAUGAUGAUAUCUUCAUUUUCGCCAUAAUUAUUGUGGAUGAACAAGUUCUGAAGAUCAAUGGUGAUGUGAUGAGAAGCGCCAAAGUCCAUAAUCCAAUUAGGUUGACUUGUAGUCGGAGUAGUCAUGAGAUUCGCUUGAGGCCACCGUGAUGGACCAAGGAGUCUGGGUCGAGAUCGACAGACUUUCGCAGAGUGUCUGACUUUGUCACAUAGUUGGCAUACGACUCUUUGUUGGCUUGUGAGGUCAGGACGCUAGGGCUGAUGGUUAUUGGAGUUGCCACCUUGAUAGAAAUGUUGAUGAUCCAAAUAAAGAGGGGUUUGUUUGGGACCUAUAUGGUCAGGAGACAUCUUGACCAAACCUUUAUUGACAUUCUUAUUGUACUGGUUACUCUUCCUCUUGGACUUUUGACUGACUUGAGCUGUGAUGGUUGGUCCGGGCAACUUGUCCUCGCGUUUCAAAUACGUCUCAUAGUCAGUCAACUUGUCAUAGAGUUCUUCGAAUGACAUUGGUGAGUCACGUGCCCUAAUUGUGGCUACCAAUUCCUUGUACUCAUCUCCUAGGCCAUUAAGGGUAUGGAUUAUGACUUCUUCGUCAUAAAAGGAAUGACCUAUCAAAGCUAAGUCAUUGAUGAUAACUUUGAUAUCUUGUAGAUAAUCAGCAAUGGUACUUUCCUCUUGUUUUUUUUUCUAUUAGAAUGGAUAGAAGACUGAGCAUGCGAGUAUGCGAACGAUUUGCCAAGGUUGUUUGCAGCUUGUACCAUGCUUCUACAGCAGUCGCACACAAAGAUAUCAAUAGGGUGAUAGAUCCAACAGUUGAGGCUUGAAUAACUUGUAGGAUGAGACUCUUGACGUAACCAUAGUUUGUGAGUUGGAUUUGGUACUGGACUGGGUUCUUAGGGGAUGUUGAUCAUUGCUGGUGGACAAUUGAGAGAGCCGUCUACAUAACCUAGCAAGUCAUAUCCAAAUAGGAGAUUAGAAAACUGAGCACACCAGGAUGCGUAGUUGUCGCCUUUUGAUAACUUGAAAGGGAUUAGCAUGACAACAUUGAUGGAGAUAAGUCCUGUAUAUGGAGAAGUACUAUGAUUCCUUGCAGAAACAGUAACUGAAAUGUCAGAAGUAGAUGAUGAAGACAUUCUGAGGAUGUGUACUGAUCCAAGGGCUUAAGAUGGGAGUUUGCGACCGAACAGUAAGGAAUUAGUUCCUAUACUAGCUGAUUUGGUUGUGCAACAAGAGGAAUACUGAGAAAAGUUGCAACUAUCCUUUCUGCAAAUUUUGUAGUGAAGGAUCUUUGCUAAGCAGGUACUCCUCUCCUCUCCCAAGCGGGUGUUUGAUGACCGACAACCUGCAUUUGUGCGCAAGGUGACCCCUUCCCCUUAGUGCAGCAUCCCUCUUUCUUCUCUCUUCCCCGUGAACGACGCUCCCAAGGGAAGCGCAAGUGCUACAAGCACUGCAUCAUCUUCCCUGCCACGACAAAAUUAAAAGGAACUUCUGGUUCGGCCCGGAUUUGUCGCCUCCGGUGACGUUGAUCAGAUCAACACUUUCCUCCUUGGUGAAUGAUGACUGUCUUCUUCCACUGCCACUCUGUGUCACAGUGGCGCCUCUAGUGUUACGUUCACGAGUGUUGCUCUUCACCGACAGAUCUCCACUGUAAUAUACUAUUGCUUCUCCUCCUCCAGCGGUUGUGAUUCUCUGAUUGCAGGCCGCACCUUCAACCCACCGAGUAUUGCUCGCCCAAACCCCUUCUUCGACAAAGAUCUUUCACUGCAAAAUUUGUAGAAAGGAGAGUUACAACUUUGCUCUAUAUCCCUCCUGCUACACAACCAAAUCAGCUAGUACAGGAACCAAUUUCUAUUGUUUUGUCGUAAACUCUCAUCUUGAGCCCUCAAAUCAGUACACAUCCUCAGAAUAUCUUCAUCAUCUAUUUCUGACGUUCCAAUUACUAUUUCUAUAGGGAAUUAUAGUACUUCUCCACAUACAGGACUUAUCUCCAUCGAUGCUAUCAUGCUAAUCCCUUUCAAGUUAUCAAAAGGUGGCAACUACGCAUCCUGGUGCGUCCAGUUUUCUAAUCUCCUAUUUGGAUAUGACUUGUUAGGCUACGUCGACGGCUCUCUCAAUUGCCCACCAAUAAUGAUCAACAUCCUCAGAGAACCCAAUCCAGUACCAAAUCUAUCUCACAAACUAUGAUUAUGUCAAGAUCGUCUCAUCCUCCAAGCUAUUCAAGCCUCACUUGCUAGAUCUGUCGCCCCACUGAUAUCUUCAUGUGCGAUUGCUGCAGAAGCAUGGUACAAGCUACAAACAACGUUGGAAAAUUGUUUGUGUACUCGCAUGCUUAGUCUUCUAUCCAUUCUAAUGAAAACAAAACAAGAAAGAAGUACAAUUGUUGAUUAUUUACAAAAUAUCAAAGUUAUCAUCGAUGGCUUGGCUUUGAUAGGUCAUUCCCUUUGUGACGAAGAAGUCAUAAUCCAUACUCUUAAUGGCAUAGGAGACGAGUAUAAGGAAUUGACAAUCACAAUUAGGGCACGCGACUCACUAAUGUCAUUCGAAGAACUCUAGACAAGUUGACUGGCUAUGAGACAUUUUUUAAGCGUGAGGACAGGUUGUCCGGACCAACCAUCAUAGCUCAAGUCAGUCAAAAGUCCAAGAGGAAGAGCAACUAGUACAAUAAGAACAUCAAUAAAGGUUUGACCAAGAUAUCUCCUAACCCUAUGGGCCCCAAAUAAAUCCCCCUUUAUUCGCAUCAUCAACAUUUCUAUCAAUGUAGCAACUCUAAUAACCAUUGGCCCUGGCGUCCUGACCUCACAAGUCAACAAAGAGUCGUCUGUCAGUUGUGUGAUAAAGUCGGACACUCCGCGAAAGUCUGUCGGUCUCGACUCAGACUCCUUGGUCCAUCACGGUGGCCUUAGGCGAACCUCAUGACUACUUCGGCUAUUAGUCAACCUAAUUGGACUGUAGACUUUAGCGCCUCUCAGUAAAUUACCUCUGAUCUUCAGAACUUAUCCAUCCACAACAACUAUGGCGGAAAUGAAGAUAUCAUCAUCGGUGAUGGUAAAAGAAUUCAUAUUACUUAUACUGGUUCCAUAACGCUUAAUUUAUAUACCAUAACUUUUAUACUCGAUGAUGUUCUGUGUGCACCUCACAUUAAACUAAACAUCAUUUUUGUUUCUCAAUUCUACAAACACAACAAUACUUCAAUUGAAUUCUUUCCUGACUAUUUUCUUGUCAAGGAUUUGAGCACGAGGACAUCCUUGGUCCAAGGCCAGAAUAGAGGCAACAUUUACGAAUGGUCGUCAACUCCACAAAUAACCCAACCCACUGUUCACUCUUUGGUUGCAACUCCAAUUGAUGUGUGGUAUCAUCGUCUUGGUUAUCCCUCAUCCCUUAUCCAGCAAAAAUUACUUUCUCGUUAUUCUUUUUUCAUUUUUAAGUCAAGUAGCUUUAUAACUUAUUGCGAUGCUUGUCUUAGCAAUAAAAGUUAUAGACAAUCCUUUGACACAUCCUCCAUAUCCUGCUUUAAAUCGUUUGAAAUUAUUUAUACCGAUGUUUGGGGCCCUGCUCUAACCUUUUCUUUUGACAAAUUUAGAUUUUAUGUCAUUUUUGUGGAUUAUUUCACUAAGUACACAUGAUUAUAUCAUCUUCACCAUAAAUCUGAAGUUUCCAUAAUCUUUAGCAACUUUAGUAAGUUGGUCAAGAACUACUUUCAAUUUACAAUCAAAAUAGUUACUUUGAUAGUGGAGGUGAAUAUCAAGCCCUGACAUCGUAUCUCUUAGCUUGUGGUAUACAACACCUCAAGUCACCCCCACAUACUCUUCAACUAGUUAGCUAUACCGAACGCAAACAUCGACAUAUAGUUGAAACUGGUCUUACACUUUUACAUAAGGCCUUCAUGUCUCCAACCUUUUGGUCAAUAGCAUUUCAAACUGUAAUCUACCUUAUUAAUUAUAUGCUUACUCCAAUCCUACAAUAUUAGUUCCCAUUUGAAACACUAUUUCACAAACCUCCAAACCUUCAGAAACUCAAAGUAUUUAGUUGUCUAUAUUAUCCAUGGUUACGUCCCUAUGCCUCCUAUAAGAUAACAUCAAGAUCUAAGCCUUGCAUUUUCAUAGAAUACUCUCUUGAGCAUAAUGCUUUCCGAUGCUACAACCCCCAAACCCAAAAAGUCUUUAUAUCACGUCACGUUAUUUUUGUGGAGUCUACCUUUCGUUUCCAAAACUAUGAGUCUCCUACCGUAUAAGCCACUCCAAAAAACAUUCAUCACUGGAGUAUACCUCUGAUCCUGUUGGAUGAACCUCCCCAUGACAUCGUCUAGUUCUUCCCCUCAGGAUCCACACUCUACUGCUACUCUAGUUCAGCAGCUGUCCAUUCCCUCCAUUACUUCUCCACUCCCUUCUUCUCAAGUUUCCCCUAUUGAUAAGGCAAUACAUUCAGAAACACAACCAUUGUUUUUACCUCCUUCUAGACCCAAUGACACUGAAGUACCUUAGCCUGACCCGGCCAGUGUCAAUGACUCUCCACCGCCUAUACCAACAACACAACCUCACAAUCUCAUAGCCUUCAGACAUCCAAUGACAAUAUGCCCCAAAAAGUGGUAUUUUUAAACCACGUCAAGCCCUUGACCUACAUACUAUCACAAAAUUCUCACCUAAGACCAUUGAACCCACCACAUUCACUCAAGCUAAAACAUCUCCACACUGGCGUAAAGCUGAUUGGGUAGGAAACUUUAAUAAUAGAACAUACACGUCUGGGUAUAUUGUCUUCCUUGGAGCUAAUCUAAUUAAUUGGAGUUCUAGGAAGCAAAAGACAAUCGUACGGUCUACAACUGAAGCUGAAUACUAUGUCAUCGCCACCGCUGCUGCAGAACUCAGUUGGGUCAUAAAUCUGCUCAAGGAACUCAACAUCGACUCCACUCUUACUUCUACAGUAUAUUGUGAUAAUGUUAGAGCUAUAUAUCUAUGCGUCAAUCUAGUGUUCCACUCCCACAUGAAGCAUAUUACCAUCGACUUUCACUUCGUGCGAGAUCAAGUUGUCUGACAUUAACUAAGUGUUUCUUAUGUACAUACAGUUAAUCAACUAGCAGACUUACUCAUGAAGUCUCUCGCCCGUAAACUAGUUUCAUUGCAUCGGUCCAAGAUCGACAUCCUUGAUAGGAACACCAUCUUACGGGGGCACGAUAGCAGAUAAGAUUUUUCCAACUGCACGAAGAAAUUUCGUUGCUUUGUUGAGGGAAAUCCUCCCUCAUAACCUGUAUAAAUAGGGAGAACAUAUCAAUAAACUUCAACAAAAACAUAUCUUCUAUCAUAUAUAACAUUUAGAAUUUUUAUACAUUUAUUUCUUAGUGUCUUUAUAAACCUCCAACUUUCUUUUGUUGUUGGGAGUGACUUAUAUUAGCCUAAUUAUUUGCUCUUACCUCAAGAUUUGCUCAAUCGAGUUCAAGCCACAACACCACUAAAUCCACCUUGAUAAUUUCAUAGGAAGAGUACUGGAAAAUCUCUGAAGCAGUGCAUCAUAAAUUACCUAUGUUUCACAUUUGAUAACAGUGUCAUGAUAUAUGGCAGUUGCAAUGGUAACAGAGGCAACCAUACUAGAUUUGGGUGAGGCACUUUCGAUGGACUUUGCUGACACUCAAUAGCACAGAAAUUGUUUGUAGGUUUAGCUUUUAUUAUAAUUAUAGAUUAUGUGAUCUUGACCUCUGAGUUGUGUUCACUGUUCCUGUAAAAUGGUCGAACGACAAUUAAUCUCUUAUCCCAUCUGCCACUUGUUGCACAGUGGAAUAGUGAUCUGCCCGGAAUAGUUCACUGUUCACAAGUGUUGCGUGAUGACAUAAUGUUGAUGAAUUAAAAUUGUUGGAGAUCAAAUGUGCAAUGAAACAUGGAUUAUUUAGUGUUAAAAUUAAGUGUGAUUUGAUAUCUCAAAGUAGGUUGUAUGUGCUGAGAUGAAAUAAGCAAUGAAAGAGUUACUCUCCAGCUUUCUGAGCUUAGUAGUAGACUGUGGUCAGAGACAUUUUCAAGUUUGAUCAUAUAAAGAGACAUAGAAAUGGAACUUUCCUGCACAGUUUUAACAGUGUUUCACCCCCUCUAUUAGAUUUUUCCUUGCCAUGGUGUUCUAGGUUUUAUAACCUCCGCACUUGAUUCCGUCCAACUGGAAUCAAAGUUAGUUGAAAUUUGAAUUUGAUCAAAUAUAUUGAUGCAUGCAACUGGUAGAUACAAUCAUUUGUCUCGUGGUAAAUGUGUCAAUGCAUUCAUUAUAUGGAUUGCAAUAUUCAACUUAUCAUGUCAUGUCUCAACUAUAUGAUAUUAAAGCUCAUAUGCUGUAGAUAGUGUGUCAGCAAAUGCAUCGGUGGGUGAUAUCUUGUGGUCUCCAGAUUGAAAUUACAAAAUAGAUAAAUUUUUGAUGUCAACAGCCAUUACAUACAUGUUCAUGGAAUAGGAAAAAGUGGCGAAUGUACAAUUUUCUGGGCAGAGCGAUUGUGUUUUACCAGAGAAAUUGCUUAAGAUCGAAUGCAUAUGAAACUGUAGAAUUUGCUUGCUCAAAUAGGACAAUAUAACCUUAGCACUUUUCAAUUUUGAAGGUUCCUCACGAGAACUGUAUUCCUGUAUGAUUAUCUUCAACAAGAAAAUUUUGAAUUUUUACAAGGUUGUGUCGAGUUCAUCGCACAAAACAAAAAAAGGCUUUGGAACACAUCAUAUCAAGAGACUGGAAAUUUUGCAGGCAGCAGCAGAUUACUAUUAUGUGGACGUGGUGCGUCAGCAGCUCAAUCCCAGACUAGAAACUAUCUGGUACACUGCAUUAGAUUGCAUGGUAAAGUAGAAGUUAUCCGAGUACAAAAUUGUGGUAAAGCUGUGAGUUUUAAUCGAUUCGUUAUGGUUUUGUAACCGGUGUGGAUCUUUUGUUUCCCAAAUAUUAAAUUGAUAUGGUAUUAUGGUCUUCCUUCGAGACAUGUCGACUAGCACUAAAAUAGUGCACUUAAAAAUUGACGUGUUUUGUUGUCUUGCUUCGCUUUCUUUGGAUCAUGCAAGGGGGUUUGGCGGGGAUUGCCAAGGCGGUGGGUCACACACCGUUUCCAUCCAAUUGCUCGGGGCGAUUAAUUAAGUUUCCCACCCUGCACCUGAAACUUAAUGGAUGUGCAACCAUAGUUAGUGGGAGGAAAAACUAAGCUCACGUUUAUAUCGAGUAUUUUCAAUUAUAAAAUAUAAAAUCGGUUUCGGAAGAAGCGAUUAAUUUUUGUAAAUUGCAGAUAUGAUUAUAAAUGGUUCGAAAGGGGACAAAAAUCUAUCAAGAAUAGCUAUAAAUUUUAGACGAUGUGUUGUGGCAAUGCCACCAAAUUAGCCGAAACAAGUUUUUGGUUAAUUGCUUUUCUCGGUUCCAUUCUCGAACCUUUAAAAGCCGUGCUACCAAAUCCACAGCGCAGAGCAAUAAUAAAACGCAGCGAGUACCGCUCUCUCCUCUCUCUCUCUCUCUCGGUGGAGGGGUUUAAAAAUGGCGUUUAGGUUCGCGACGGCGGCCGCAAUGCCGAAGCCCUGUUUAUCGAUAAGAGCGAAUCAAUCAAGCUCCCUCGACGUAUCUGAUCUCGCCGACGAUCAUGUCUCUCGUUCGAAGAAGAAUUUCGUCUUCAUCAUCAACCCCAAGGGUUUCUCUUUUUUCUCCUCUCUUUUCUCGUCAUCGAUCAGUUCUCUUCUUCGGUUCUUUACUCUGUCCCUAAACCUUGGAUGAAUUCAGGUGCUAAUGGCCGGACAGGCAAGGAAUGGAAGAAGCUGCUGCCCCAUCUACGCACUCGGCUCGGUGGGCACUGCAACGUGAGCUCGCUUUCUUCGUAUAAUGCCCUUAUUUAUGCCACUGUUUGGUUGCUGAAACACCAGCCUGCGUCCUUGUUGAUGAUCUUUAUCCUGUGAUCUGUUCUGCCCUCUAUGUUAUUUUAUCGGUUCUUUUUGCUUUUUGUUCUAAAGCCGGAGUUGUUCUUAUUUUAUAUGUUGCAUACCAGUUGUUCGACGAUUGACCUCUUUGUUGAUAACUAUGAUGUUGAAAAUUAUUUAUGUCAUGUCACUCUUGGGCGGUUGUUCGUCUUCAAGUCACUAUGCCUUGAUGCUUUCCUUCUGUUGUGUGUAUCUUUCUUUAUCUUUUUCUCCAUGGGUCUCUGUAAACUAAUUGUUUGCCAAUGAAGCCCAUAUCCUCAACUAUACACCAUUAUAUUGUGUCUAUGUCUGUUCUGCAUAAUUUUCGAACUGAGAUGGAGGACCACAUCUUGUAAUGAGGUUUUGCCUUGCAGUUGUGUUGUUGCCCUCGAGUAAAACAGAAAAUUUAUCAUUUUUCCUGAUACAAGCCCAUCUCAGUUUUCGUGACAAUGGUUUUAACCUUGAAAAAUAUGUGCAGUAACGUUUUAGUUUUUGUUACAUAUCUAUAUUUCAGGAUAUAAGGAUAAUGAAAAACAACUUGAGAUGAUCUUAGUAAUCACACUUUAAAACCUUCAUGUCUCUGAUGCAAUAUAGAACAGAGAUAAACAGAGUUGCAUCUUUAAUUGUUAUGGUGGUGUCGCAUUUUGAUAGGUAAGUAGAUGUAAACUGAACUUUUUCCAUUCUUUUUUUUUUUUUGAGUUCUCUUCAGCUCAUAAGCACCAUGUCAUUGUUCUAUCUGAUUUCUGAUCUUCACUUUUUUCCAUUUUUUCCUAGUUUCCCCUUGUAUGCAAAUAUAAUCUCCUUUCCAGUACAGGGCUCUUUUUCUUCUUCUUUUGUACUUCCAGCACAUAACAUCUGGUUGCCAAUUCAUCAAACCCAAAUCAUGGGAACUUUUGACUAACUUAUCCUUAAUUGAAGCAUAAUGAAUUGGAUUCCUCAUAUUAUUGAUCCUAAUAUAUUGGUAAUAUUGGAGAUAAGUAUCUUAUACUGGUCUUUCUAGAAUUACUUUCUCUUAUAAUAAAAUGGAUUAUUAGCUACAUGAUUCAUUAUAAGUCUUUUGACUUGAAGAUUUUCUUGAAUUAAAUCUGAUAUUCUCUUAAUGAUUUAAUCUCUAGUUGGAUAUUUAGACUUGACUUCGAAACGUAGAUUCUUGUGUCACAUGUUGCUUACAUUUCAAUGGUUCAAUCGGCUGUUUUUAUUGGAUGAUUCAGUUUGAUGAAAACUUCAAAGCGAAAGCCUCCAUGUGGGAUAUUCAGAAUAUUGUUCGCUACCCCAUGUACUGCAUAUAUUACUUAUGUGAAAGUGAAAUCCUUGCUUACAACAGAGAAUUAUCAAAUUGAACUUGAGUAUCAUAAAAAUUGUCCUAUGAAUUUGUUUUUUUUUUUGGCACAAGUUGUUCUCCCAUGAUUGCUAUCAACUGUUGUUCUAAUAUCUUUGAGUGACUUUGGUGCAUCAGCAAAGUAUGUGCCACGUUCUAUAACAUCCCAAACGAGGUACAUACUAUUCUGGCAGCACAAAUAGAAAAGGGGGCAAACAUAUUUAUCUUCAGUGUUGAGAGUAGAGGUUGGUAUUAAUGCUACUUCAGUGUUGAGAGUAGAGGUUGGUAUUAAUGCUACUUCAGUGGAUCAAAGUAAUUCUAUCUCAUUAUCAUCAGUAGAAAGUGGGAAUGGAAGCUGAUAACCUUGCUAGACUAGUCUGCAUUUCUGGAUGAAGCAGUGGCUGGCAGUGAGAUGGCUGAUGAAAUACUUGGCUCCAGGUGAUGUGAGUAUCAAGAUGGUACUAUGCAGCUCAUGGUCUUCGGAUGAAAGGGAGAGUAAAAAAAAUUGACAGGCAUUACUGCUGAAAUUCUAGAUUCUGAACCGAUACAAACCUGAAAUUUAACAGUUUCAACAUGUUUGUCUGAAACUUCCUAUUUCACCAGACCAUAAGACUAUGGAGUGUUGCAUGUAGGCAGUGUAACCUGGUGCAGCAAAAAGUGAAAAUCCCUCUUUGAUCCAUUAUUCUCAUAUAUAAAAUCUCUGAGCUUUAUAUUAUGCUUACUGGAGAGAAAGCUCUACUUGCAAAACAUUAUUUUAUUAUUCUAUUAUUAUUUUAAAAGGAAUGCAUCGCUCAUCAAAUUAAAAGGAUGAAAAAGAUCUCUCGUAUGCAUUUUUUUCUUAGACUGCUGUUUAUUUCGAUGCACUUCUGUUCACCAUAUAGGAAAUUGGUACUAUUUUAAUUUACAGAAUUGUGUUUGCAUCUUUUUGCCUAUUAACUUGCACUUUUUAAUUGUUAUCUUAAGAAUUGUUGUAUUAUAAACCUUUUCAUAUAAUUAGAACUUCAGCUGGGAUUAGUUUGAAUUCUUUCUCAAAAUAAGUUUCAUGUAAGUUCUGAGCAGUAUUUUGCCAGGAUUUGCACGUUGCACUCUGUUAUUGCCAUUAAUGUGUUUUUUCUUAUAUGCUUAUUAUUGUCAGAUAUGUGAGUAUAUUACUUCGGCUCCUUCUCAUGGUGUGGACAUAACAAGGGAGGUAUAAAAAUUUAUUGGAAGUAUGGUCAAUUAGUAUAUUUAAUGAAAUUUUGGAUAUAUUACCUUUUAUAUUUCUUACUGAAUCACUCAUUGAUGGGCCUUUGUAGGCAAUAAGGGAGGGGGCGGAUGCUGUAAUUGCUGUUGGAGGUGAUGGUACACUUCAUGAGGUCAGAGUACUUAUCUAAAGAUAACUGAUCAUUAGUGCUUGCUUCUUGAGUUAUUAUUCAACAUCCUUAUGGUGGACUUGCCUAAAAGAUUCUUUAGUGGAUAUAGAGUUCUAUUUAUAUAACAGUGGUUUAACUGUUUAAGGCUUUAAGCUCAAUAUAAGUUAUAUUUUCAUAUUUUUAUCAUUAUUUCUGUUACCUAUUACCAUAUUUGCCAUGCAAGAUUGCUCCGGCAUGUGACAUGCUGAAAAGAAAAUGCUGAUGCAUCAGACAACUUUUCUCAAACAAAUAGACAUCAACAUGAAUUUGUACACUAAGUUACUAACAUCAGUGAGCACGGUUCCCACUCUUAAUGUUCUGAUGUCAAACGGCAUACAAAUUCCCUGUGGCAGCAUAUUCCCAAGUAUGGAUAUCUCACUGCUUCUCUUGAAGGCAAACCAGAAAGUCCCAUACCUAUACAUGUGAUGAGGUAGCCCGUUGAUGGUAUUAUUCCUGUGCUGGCAAAAUACAGCACCAUCAAAAGAAUGUGCAUUUAACAUCUGCCAUCCUGGUGCAGUUUUAGCACAUAUCACAGUUGUCUUCAGUCUGGUCACUUAACCAGUUCUGCAACUUGAAUUACCUGCACAAAGAAAUCUAAUAACUCUAUGAAUCUGAGCGACAAUGACAAGCAGCUAGUGCAACCAGCAUAUUGUCUUAGUUUUAGUGUUUUCAUCAGGCAAUACACCUUUUUUCCCCUUUCUUCUAUGGAAGCACCUUCUUAAGGGCUGGCACUGUUGGAGAUAUACUAGGUGCUAAACAUGUUUGGAUAUUUUUUCAUUUUUUGUAUGCUUCUGAUACUAACAGGUCAUCAAUGGCUUCUUUUGUGUGGGGAAACCAGUGACAGCUCUUGAACGGGGCCCUGGAUAUUCAACGACACUUGGUGUUAGUGCUAUUAUUUAGUUUUGAAGAUGAAUCUUCUCACUUUGCUGUGUCUCUGCAUCUUUCUUCAAUUAUUUGUAUCAAAAAUUGCUAGGGUGGUUUAACUAUAUUCUGUUUUUUCAGCUCAUUCCUCUUGGAACUGGCUCAGAUUUUGCUAGGACAUUUCGCUGGUAUGUUUUCUCCUCUCUCAUGCAUGUUGCUUAUUUCAGAUUCCAUAACUGCUUGGUGUUAUUCGUUAGAUUGAUAUUACAUAUGGUUUGUUAAACCAUGAUUGGUGUUGUUAUUUAAUGACAAUUCCAUAUGGUUUGUUAAACCAGGAGAAAUGACCCCCACGAAGCGAUAGAAAGGAUUAAAAGAGGUGGUUCUGCUUAUCCUACUUCCUUCAAGCUUCAUCUAGGUUUCUAAUCUGCAGAAUAUGCAUUAAGUUAUUUGCCCCUUCAUGAUGCAAAUGGAUGAAUUUAGCUAAUAUGUGAACUCAAGAUUGAAUAUUGUUUAACUAAAUGAAUAAUACUUUCUUGGUAAUCUAAGGUGGUUUGUUCUAUUGGGAUCUUUUAGCCAUGCAUGGGAUUUUUCAUGUUAGGCUUAGAUGCACAUGCACCUUUGCCUCAAAAUAGCUUUUUGGGUCUUCAAAGAUGGGCAAAAGUGCAUUUCAUUAGCAUGGACAGUGUUUCUUAUCUUUGCAUCUUUGUUUUAUUCAUAUUAUUGGUCACUAUGCUUCAGUCGAUGUGUCUCCAAAACAUGGUAGUUAAUAUGUGACAUCCCUUAAAUCUCUCCCUUUCCAAUUGGCAUCUUUCAUAAAUGUGCAUGAUAAAGUAGUGAAUGCAAGUUAUUAGAAGUAUGAAAGAUAAUAAGGCGAUUUAUGCUGAUUUAGUUCUUUAAGUUUGACCAGUCUGGGCAUGCUUUAGUUAAGAUGUAGAAAGAGGGGACCAUCCCAUUUCAUUAUGUAAAAGUGUAUAGCAUGUGUAUUUGCAUAGUCACAACCAAACACUGGAUAUGGUGAAUGCUUAAUUCUAUGUUUAACUGACGUACUUAUCACCGGAUCUGUAGGAUAACUAAAGUUUAAGGUCUCAUUAAUUUUGAAGAGUACUUGUUGACAAGAAUAUUGAUGUGCUUCUGAGAAAUGUCAUUCUUUCAAAAUUUAUGAUUAUUUAAUUGGUCAAUGAUCAGCAAAUUGAUUCAUGCAAAAAUUUGAAACCAAAUAAGCUGUGAUACUAAAACUAAGAAUGAUGAUAUAAGAAAAUCCAUUGUCAGUUGAUGAAUGGAUCUUCAAUAUUUUCCUGGUGAAAACUAGCAAACAGAUGGAGAUUAGUAAUUAGUCAAUUUUGCCGUAAAAUAGAAUUGUUUGUUCAUUAGAUGAAAGCAUUCAUCUUAGAUAAUACUACUCACUGACUCUCUGGUUCACCUCCAGAUUACUAUGACAUUUCUGAGAUUGUAUUAUGUUUGAUGCCUUAUACAAGCUUGUAGUUCUUCUAGAAAAUAGAAUUUUAAUUGUGUCCCUGAUGUUCUGGUAGAUUCAAUGAAAUAGAUAAUUAUAAGCUUGAAUUUCUCCUCUUUUAUAUUUAUGUCAUGUUUUCUGUGCAGGGUUUAAAUCAAAAAUAGAUGUCGGCAUUAUUACUGCACAUACGGGAGAACAACAUUUCUUUAUUAAUGUUGCUGAUAUUCACUUGUAAGAGCCUAAAGUUCACUGAUUAAAAAGUGAUAUAAUCUGCGGCUCAAAAAUACUGAGUAAUAAACAUACAGGAGUGCAAAGGCAGGUUAUUAUGCUUCCAAGUACAAAGGAUUUGGAAAUUUAUGUUAUGUUUUUGGAGCUUUAAGGGCUUUUAUUGGGCAUGAAAAUAGGAAUCUGAAAGUCAAGGUCAGUGUUCUACUUGAGUAUUUGUGAGAUUGAGAGAACAUCCAUGUAUGAUAAUUAGUGAUCUAAUUUUUUUUAAACUUUCUGACACUUUCUAUUUAUACUGUGUCCUACAUUAUAGAUAAAUGGUGGAGACUGGGAAGUAUUUCAUAAAGUCACUGCUAUUUGUAUAGGAAAUGGCAAAUAUUUUGGUGGUGGCAUGAAGAUAACCCCAACAGCUGAUCCAUCUAAUGGAAAAUUGGAGGUGCUUUGAGUUUUCUCUUCUGUCUUGUUCUUUUUGGAUUUAGUUAAAAUAAUGUUACUGUUUUUAACUGUUCUUCUUGCACAUCAUAGGUUGUGAUUCUUCAAGACUUCAAGUGGUAUGACUUUGUACUUAAGUUGCACAAAUUAUACAGUGGGUCUCAUCUAUCAGAGAAAAAUGUAUGUUUGAGAAGGUAAUUUGUCCCCUCAAACAAGCUUUUACCAUCCCAUGUUGCAUGAUUUUCAUGGGUAAUUCACUCAGGGAAACUAUGACUAUGAGAUGUUGUUAAACAACAAUCUAUUUUAUUGAGAAGCUGGUUUUGAAGUUUGGAUUGAUUGCAAGUUCUGCUUUGAUUUGCAUGUCAAAGAUCAUGUUAGUGGUUAUUCCAUAUUGUACAGAUUUAAGCAUGUCACCCAAACUUUUAUUUCAUAGUUAAGGUACAAGAAGUAUCAAGAUAAUCUUUCAAUUUUAUAAAUAGCUCUCUUAUGUUAGGAACACCAGUCAGCAUUUGAUGCCGAACAUGGCAUUGACAUUUGCUGCAUUGAUGCAAGUGCCAAGCAUCCAAAAGAACAAAAUGGUAAAUGUAGAAUGUAGAUAAAGAAGUUAUACCAAAUCAAGAAUAUGAAUCUGUAGGUAGAGAUUGGGAUAAACCAACCAUACGCACCGUCAUGCCGUACGCACCUCUGAAAAGAAAAGAGUGUGACAAUGAAAUAUUAGGGCUUGGCCAGCUUUGGUAACCUUGAUAUGACAAGGAAGGGUAUGAGGUAAAAAUUUGGUGCAGAUAUUGUUCUAGCAUGAUAUAUGACACUACUUGGUCUCGAAUGACUUGAUCGAGCAAUCCGUGCUUUUACAGAACUUGGAGAGAUGAGUAUUAUUAAGUAGUUUUGUUAUUCAACACUAUAAUUUAUUGUGCCUAUUAAUAUUGUUAUAAAUAUGUUGCUUAUUUUGGCAGUUUGAAGCUUUGAGCAAUGCUACAUGUAUGAAGGUCGGUAGGGUAACUUGUUUGCUCAAUUUAUUUUUAUUGCUGCAAUAAAUGGUUCUCUCUCGACUCAAAUCUAUAGUGCACAGAUGACUUUGAGAACAAUUAUGGUUAGGUAGCAAUGCAGAUUGUUGUGGUGGAAGCUUUUGCUUCUUCAUCUCUUAUCCUUCUUUAGUAUUGUUAUAAUAUCUGAAUUUCUUUAUUGCUUUGACUCAAACAUAAUGUUCUGUAGUGUUUUACAUUCUACUUUUUACUUUGGCCAUUUUCUACUUACUUUCUGCUUUGUGCUUCUUUGUUGACCCUGCUAGACCCAUAUUGGCGAAAGCCUCAUACAUUGAAUUCUUAUUGUUACUUUUGUGUUACUCCAUGGUUUGAUUUUUGGAAAUGUAUCUGAUGCCAUAUCUAUAUGAUUAAUAAUUUGUGCAGUGUGAAGUCAAUUGAAGUUGUUGAGGAGAUGUCCAAAGGUGAUAUCUAUGUUCAAUCUGACGGUGAACAUUUAGGAUUUCUUCCAGCACAUUGUUCUAUUCUACCAGCUGCAAUCAAUUUCUUCUGCUGAUACAAAUAUUUGCAACUGGCUGUUCUCCAAUUCGACCAUCAUGGCCUUCACUUGCAGCUAGACUAGUUUAUGGAAGCUUGCAACUCGUAUGCUGUGGAAGUAGCUCUUCCUAUUGUACUGCACAUCUCAUUUUCACAUAAUUUCCCUUGUCGGAGGACUUGUGAAGUUAUUAACAAGCAGCUCACGACAAGUCCGAGAGAUUAAAUAUCUAGUAAUUGAAGAAGUUGAAAUCAAUUAUCCAGAAAAGUUGUGACAAGAUCAAACACAUAUCUUGAUGGUUUCGUGUGGCUGCUGAAGAUUUACAUAGGAUUCCAAGGAAAUGUCACCAUGCAAGUAAAAAUUUAGCUUUUCUGCGGCAACUUACUUUUACCCGUUGUAGUUAUAGUAUUGUCAGGUUAAUGAUCUUGAUAGAUCGUGUAUAAUGUGUAUGGUUUAUUGCUUUGGUAUUCAAAAUACAAAUAAUACUUAAUCAUUUUGCUGUAAAAGUGAGGUAAUGUUUAGAACCAUGAUAAGAAUUGUCAUAUUUACUUUCCAUAUCCUAAUAUGCCACCUUAGGUAAACGCAUUGUCACCUUUUAUGUAUCGUUUUCAUAAAAUUGUUCAUUCGUAAUUAUUGUGGAAAAAGUUUUCUUCUUCAAAUCAUUUUAUUCGUUCAUUGGAUUAGAAGAUUUUUAAAAAUUAUUUUCGAUAAUAUUUUAUAAAUUUAGGUCCAUGGAAAGGAAGAAAAUUCUCAUUCGAGUUUUUUAAUGAGUAUAGUCUGUCUUAUUGAACAUAGGAGAAAGAAUGAUAGAAUAAUUCUGUCCUAUUGAACGUAGGAGGAAGAAUGAUAGAAUAACUUUUUAAAUUAUCGGGAAAAGCUCUUUCUUAAGUGUUAAACCAACGAAUAGAAACAUGAUUUUAAUAUCAAUUAUCAGGAUCGAAAUCGGCAAUAAGAGGAGGGUGAAUUAGUGCUUCUAAGAAAACGUGUGAAACGAUAAAAUCAUAUCGGAAAUACUAUGAUUAUUAAUAACAUUAAUCACAUCGUUUAAUUUAAAUCUCAUUCCCCCUUCUAGCACGUCUCAUAACGUCUUGCAGAUAGCUUCAUUGUCUAAAGUUCUUACCCACAAGAUAUCACUUCAGUGGCACCAAUCAGUUACCAACGCGUAUCUAUAAAACACUGCAAGGAACUUGCAUUUGUCGUUUUGUUUACUUUCUCAUCAAUUAGGGCGUACUAAAUCAGGACCGCACGUCUAAUCAACUAAAAGAAAGAGCACUACAAUUGUCAAUCCAUAAAGAAUGAUGCGCAAAUGCAUCGUAUGUACCCCCUACGGGGGAUACCCUUUUUUUCUCGAAACGCGCAACCCGGCGAUGGUCUUCGCCUUCAUCAUGAGGUAACGCGGGCUUGCUUGGACGCUGUGAUAACGUCUCCGACUCGAUCGUCUCGUUCACUUCUUGCGAGACGAAGAACCAACAAAAGCAAGCAGACACCCACCGUCGUCGUCGUCGUCCGUAUCUUGCCGUCUUUCCUUCUUCUACUUCUUGUUUCAGGUGCGGAAACGUAGCAAAGCGCAAGCGAUCACCCCGCCAUUCCGUCUACCAGACAGCCAAUGAGACGAAGCUUGCGGUGGCCUUCGGUGUCAGACCACCUCCAUCUUUCCCUGCUUUUCCCAAGUGGUGCCUCCACUGGACCUUUAAAUUUAAAUCAAGUAGCCGUUAUGACAGUCCUCCCCAAUCCCCAUUCAAAUCCCACGCAUUAAAUAUUUGGCCGUCAGGGUAGCACCACCCCACCGUAGUAGAUCACGUGAUUGCAUAUGGUCGCCAACCGUGCACCAACGAUGAUAUUAUUGUUAUCAAGUUGGGUUGUACCAUUACUUGGUUCUAAUUUGCACGCCAAGUUAGGUUUCAUCGAUUUCAUUUGAUUAUGCUGUAAGCAUAAAAUUUAUGAUAUGUUAUAUAUAAUGAAAAAAAAUUGAUGUUAUGACUCAAAUCAAAUAAGAUUAGAUCGAUUUUUACAAUCAAAUAAGAUUAGAUCGAUUUUUACAAUACCUAUUUAUAUCAUCUGAAAAAGAUCUAUCUCUAUGUGACCUGAGCGUAAGGAGAAUUAAACUUUCCUUCUUUUUUCUUCCUAUCUUUUCAAAUUACUUAGAUUAAUGAGAGAAUUAAACUUUCCUUCUCUUUUCUUCCUAUCUUUUCAAAUCACUUAGAUUAAUGAUUUAAAAAAAUUAUGAGAAACUGUAAUCUCUCAAUUAUGUCAUGUAUCAUUUAAUCCCUAGAAGUCAUAUCUAUUUAUAGGCAAGAAUAGAAGACUAUAAUAAGUUAUUAAUAGAGUUCCUCCCAUAUAUCCGAAAAAUUUCACUAUAAUAUAUUUUUUUCUAUUGAUAAAUAUCUAUCAUCAAAAUAUAAUUAAUUCUAUAAUAUAUCUUAUUCAAUUAUAAAGAAUAAUAUAAUCUAACAUAUGUUUCACGGCAAACAAUAAUUAGCCUAAUUGGAAGCCUCCAAGAGAGGUAUCAUUGUAUAGGCUUCAUUGUAGAAGGAAUAUUGCAAAGCAUAGAUCAAAAAGCUCUGUUUAGAGACUGCAUGCAUAUAUAUAAACAAUAUGAUCUCCAUGAUGAACGGAAUAGUUAAAGCCAAGUGUAUUAAAAGGACACAAUAAAUGGUGGACCAGGCCAGCUCAAUCUCAUGUGAGCAUACAUGUACACGUUUAUGCACCAAGGAACGUUAAAACAUCAGAAGCCAGUGGUAGAGGAGGAGGAUCUACAACAAGUAUUAAGGAGAUCUUGGAAUUUGAGCAUUGUGCACCACCACCCUACUCUUGCAGCUGUGAACUGGGACAGUUAAUGAGGAUGCUCCCGUUCAGAACUCUUCCACCUGUAAAUUUACAGUUUGACUAUAAAUAUUAUAAACUGAACAGGAUUCAAGUAGUACCUUUGAUUCCUACCUAGCUGUUACGAGAUGAGGGGACAUGGUAGCAGAUGUUGGAAUAUUACUAAGCUAAAAUUUCCAGUGACUUACAUGUGCAAGUCAUUGCCACCUUGUUCUAUCGUCACGCUUGCUCAAGCUUCCUUCUUCUCUGUGAUGGUAUCUCUCUGAUGACCGAGUAGAAGAUGACUCCCGACCUAGUUUGUGUUCCUGAGCAGGUGAUGGAAAAGGUUCAGCUGGUGCGACUGAUAUAAUCAUAAUGAUAGAGUCGAAUUGGGUUAGUUUUUUAUGAUGUAAUUGACGCACAUCACGAAUUAGCAAGUCAUCCAUUUCGAGCAUAUGGAUCACAUGCCCCAUUUUAGGGCGUUUAUGUGCGUCAGGAUCAACACAGCGGAGGGCCACCAGGAGAGCUCUUUUCAGUGCUUUUGGAGAUGGUUUCUCAGGAAUCCUAGGAUCCACCACUUGCUCGGAUUUUCUCUCCCCAACCAUGUUCUUCAACCAGUCAACCAAAUUCACCUGAAAAACACAAAAGUGAAUCAUCAAUUUAGCUUACAUGUUUUGGCCUCUCGAAUCUUUUCUUUCAGCAAGCAGAACAUGGUUAAGCAGUCAGUUCUGAGGGAAAGGUAACCUCUCCUGGGGGUCUUGUAUAAUCGACGGGUGCCCUUCCUGAUAUAAUCUCCAUGAUGAGAACUCCAAAGCUAUAAAUAUCACUUCUCUCGUUCAGCAUUCCGGUGCUAGCAUAUUCUGGUGCCACAUAGCUGCAUUUAACAACUAAAUUAGAGUUGCAAAGAUCUUGAAUUGCAAUAGAAGAAGCUUCAGUAUAAAAUUCGUCUCAAUCUCACCCAAAAGUCCCCAUAACACGGGUUGUUACAUAACUCCUUUCGGAGCACAAGAGCUUUGCAAGCCCAAAAUCUGAAACCUUGGAAUUCCAGUGGUGAUCAAGUAGAAUGUUGCUAGCCUUAACAUCACGGUGGACGACCUUUGGUUCAAGCCCUUCAUGAAGAUAGGCCAAGCUGUAAACAUCAUCACCAUAUUUUAAGAGCUACUAUUGGUGUCACCAUCUCAUCAAUAAUAAUAGAUAUGAUCAGCGUUUAAUUGCAUUAAGAAAAAAAAAUUGUUUUUAAGGAAACAGUGAAGAAAAAGUAUCUGAGGAGACAGUACAUUUCAUGGUUCAACAAAAGACAAAACCAGGUCUUUACUGAAAGCUGUUUCUGGUCAUGAACAACUCUUCCAUCUAGGAAAUGGGCCAUAUUUGGUACCAAAUAUUUCCUACUAAUUUUCUUUUUCGGGAAAUAGGACUUGAUAAGGGUCACUGACCAGAUGAAACCUAUAGCAUACAUUGGACAAUGGCCAUAAAAUAUUAGCGAUAAAAUAACUUUCAAGAACUUGAACAUGUCCAAUGAUCAUAGGUUGAAAAAUUGAUGGCCUCCAUCAUCUACUGAGUGCCAACUACUUUGUGUAGGUCUACAUGGUUGUCAUGUUAUUCGAUAAAUGUCUUCAGUUCAGUUGCACGGAAACAAACCAUCAGAUAUAUGCAAUCCUCCAAAGCAUACAUGUAAAUUACCAAUACAAUGUCAUGUUUAGAUUGUGAGAUUGAUGCCUCAUUUGGGUGGUUGGUAUACUUACAUCAAUAAUACUAUUUCAUAAACACAUUUUUUGCAAUACAUUAAGGUUAUGAAGAACAUGAUAACGGCAAGAUGAAGUUUUGCCGAUCUAUCUCCUAGUCCGGUUGUAAGAGAGAGGAUAGGGGAGUAUACCCUUUUGCAGUUCCAAGUAUUAUGUUCAUCCUGAUGUCCCAAGUCAGCGGACUAACUUCUCCGACGCCUCCGUGCAGCCACUGUUCCAGAUUACCAUUGUCUACAUACUCAUAAACGAGCAUCCUAUCCAAAGAAAACAAAGAAUGCAGAUUAGCAGACAAUCAUUCCUUGAGAAGCUACCCCAUCAUAAGCAUUUAGCAGAACUAAAGCAAGAAGCUUUAGAAUGUAGAUCAACACACUGAGUAGAAUACCUAUAUUCCCCCUCAACGCAGUAGCCAAGCAAUCUAACCAGAUUCUUGUGCCUGACACGCCCAAUUGUUUCAACCUCGACCUUAAAUUCCUUCUCAGCUUGCCCCCUGAUGAAAAGAGAAACAAAAAAAAAGGGAAAAAUGAAUGGAUUUUUCUUUCUAACAAUUUUAGAUAUAGUUACUACACAGAUCGUAAUCAUGCAUUAUCAUCCGAGAGUGGAACAAAUCCACAAGUGAAUGGAAGCACAUUCUCAUGUUCAACUCAAUGACCACCACAAAGUAGAUUGAGCAUCUAAAGCACGAUUGAUCUCCGGUUGGAAUCGGAACAACACGAAAACAUGCAAGUGAAAAAGGGGCAAAUUUUAGAACUUGAUCAUGACGCAAUCUAUAAAUCGAGCAAUCGACGGAUCUGUGAUUUGGGAAGCGGGCACGCACCUGUUGUUGAGCAAAUUCUUGACGGCGACUAUGGUGUUAUCCGCCAACACUCCGCGGUACACGAUGCCGUACCCUCCCUCCCCGAUCACGUUCUCCUCGGCCAGACCGCCGGUGGCCUCCUCCAGCUCCCGCAACGUGUACCAGUGGCCCCACCCCAGAUGCGACACCUCCGGCGGGCCCCCGCCGCCUCCCAUGGACGAGGGCGUCCCGAUGGUCUCGCCGCUGACCGUCCCCGUCGUGGAUGCGGACGGCGGCGCCGCCGGGGGCCGUGGGUGGCUGUUGUGGUGGUGGUCGGCGAGAACGACGCGGUGGUCGGCCUUGCCGACGUCGAUCCGAACAUCGGCGACCGAGACGGGGGCGGCGGCCGCGGCAGCGGAGGCGCUUUGAUGAUGGUGGUGGUGGAUCUCGGGGAUGUCCUUGGUGACGGGCGCGGUGGAGUCUUGGAGGUGGAGCUUGAGGGAUUUCUGCGGCUUCUUGCGGGGGGAAGAGGAGGGAGAGCGGCGGCGGGAUGUGAGGCAAAGGGAGAUGAGGAAGAGGACGAGUACGAUGGCCGCGCCGACGCAGAUGCCGAUGACCACCCACAGCCUGAGGCCGAAGACGGACGUUUUCUUCGACAGCUCGUUGUUGAGGAAUCCUCCGUUCCAAAACGACAUCUUGCCCCCCCUCCCUCUCUUUCUCUCUCUCUCCCCUCCUCAAGCACCUUCCUAUAUAAAUUCUUGUAUUGGUAAAAGAAUCAGAUAGAAUCGAGGAGGAAGAGACGAGAACGAGGAGGAAACGAAGGCAUUCGGAAAAGCUGGCCUGCGAUCUGAAACCAAAGUUGACUACAAGCCGAGAGAGAGAGAGAGAGAGAGGAGAUUGAUCUAAUAGUGUACUAAUGGCACAACGUGGGUGGCUUUGUUGUUAUUAGCGGCCUAAUAGUUUCGUGGGAGCGCAGACUCGGAGAGGUGCUUCGGGCAAGCAGCGCAUUGUGGCCGGUGGUGGCGAGACGAGGAUGCCGCGCACGUGACGGAGAAGUGUCGCUAGAGAUAGAGUCACGUGUUUCCGAAACAUUUUUAACUGCCACGUGUAACGUCAUGCCAGUUAUCAGACAGCGCAACGCGUGCAGUACUCGAAUUGGGGCGGAACAAUAAAAGAUCAAACCCGGUCCAAUUUGAUGGAUUUGAAUCCACGGUUCGAUGUGGUUCGCGUACUCAAUAUGGUGUGUGUUUAGGUGGAAUGUAGUAAAAGAAUGAGAUGAUUGCCUCAUGAAUUUUCCAAUUUUUUAUUAUUUUGAAAAUCCAAAAACAAUAUCCUAUAGUAGGAAAAAUAUCAUAUGCACAUAAAGAGAGUUGGACUUAAUAUAUAUAUAUAUGGAAUGUUUUUGAUUGGAUAUUAAAUUCCUGCAAUUGGCAUUAAUUACUAACUAAUGCAAAGCUAAGAAAUGCUUACAAAUAUCCAGAAGAAGUUUUCUAAAAGAAAAAUAAAAAAAGUAGAUAAAGAAAUUUACAGUCAUAAUUACUGAUUCUUACUCAGCAGUUGCUAUUAUCGAUUACAAAAGCUCCUGAUUUAUUUUGUCUCUCAGGAUAGAUAAUCCAUGACAAAAGUUUGAAUUAACAGUUCUCAUCAACAACUACUGAAAGAAACUAAGAACUUAAACAAAUGCUGCAGAUCCACGAGAUUGGAGAUGCAAGCCUUUUAGCCAAAGUUGAUUCCUUGGCAUGUCAUCUCAUCAUUUGUAAGCAGCUUUUUGGCAUCAGGAAUGCCUUGGGAAUGGAGCAAACAAAUUUUCUUUUCCUCCGACAACGUUUACAUUUUUGGGUGCAGAUAUGUUCUUUUGGGAAGACGACUGUCACAUGUACAUUAAUAAAAAAAAAAGACGACUGUCUUUGUUUCGAAGUAUAUCAAGCCUUUGUUGUUUAAAAGAUCAACGACGAAAAUUUUUAUGGACAAUUCAUUUCUUAGUUUCUAUAAAAGUUGCAUGUAUAUGAUCAAAAUUGUGCAUAUGGCCUUCUAAAUUCUCUGUAAUAUAAAAUGUAUUCAAGUUUUGGCCAUGUAAAGAGCAUUGCUAUACUAUGUAUGGUGUUGUGUAUCUAGAAUUGUGUAAACCAAAACCAUUGACAUAUUCCAGUUUUUUCGAGAUAGUAAAGAGUGUUUCUCUAAUAUGUAUGAUAUAUGAGUAAAUGUUGUUAAAAACAGAACAUUUGAGUAUGUCAUUUUCUAUUUUUAAUAGUAAAAUGGGUAAUACCACGAUUGGCUUUUUUUCAUUUAAAGUAAAAUAUCAUACAUUCAUGUAAUAUUUUUUAACAUUUAAACUUCUAAUUAUGUCAUAAACACCUGGUAAAAAUUUAGUCUUCAAAAAUUAUUUCCUUAUAUGUGAUGCAUUAUUUUUGACCAAAAUCAAAAAAUAGUGCAUCACAUAAUAGGACUUAUCAAGAUACUAUAAAAUUUUGAGGAUACUUUUAUAUUGGAUCCAUACGAAUAUAUUUCAAUGUUUUUUAUUUUAUAAUUUUUUUCAGUAUUUUUCAGAAUUAUUCUAUUCUUGCAUAGUGUAUCAUUUUUUAUUUUUCCUCAACAUUCAAAUAUCCAUAAAAAUUUAUGCACUCAUGCAAAUUAUUUUUACAUUUAAGCUUCUAAUUAGGUCCUGAGCACUUAAUACAAAUUUGGCUCUCAAGAAAUAUUUCCUUAUAUUUGAUGCACUGUUUUUGGUCAAAAUCCAAAAACAGUUAUCAAAAUACUUUAAAAUUUUACAUAUACUUUUCCAUUAGAUCCAUCCAAAUGGACAUAUUUCAAUGUUUUUUUUUAUUUUAGAUAAUAUUUUGAUAUUUUUCUGAAUUAUUUAGUUCCUACACAAUGUGUCAUUUUUUUCUAACUUUUUGAAAUUUUCACAAAAAAUUCAUGUACUCAUGUAAUAUUUUGUAAUAUUUAAGCUUUUAGUUAGAUCAUGAAUACCUAAUAAAAAUUUGACCCUCAAAAAAUAUUUUCUUAUAUAUGAUGUACUAAUUUUAGCCAAGAUUCAAAAAUAGUGCAUCAUAUAGCAGCACUUGUCAAAAUAUUCUAAAAUUUAGAUAAUACCUUUGCAUUAGACCAACAUAGGCUUAUUCCUUUUAAUUUUAGAAAUUAUUUUUAUUUUUUAAAUUCUUUUUAAUUUCACAAAGCACAAGCCUCUGCUCUUGUCUUUUAAUUGGCAUAAGAAGAUCAUCUUACAAAGAAGAUUGUCACAGAACCUCACAAGAUCAUGUUGGAUCACAUAUAAGCAAACAUGAGGAUCAACUCCACCACCUUUGAUAUUUCAUAGCACAAGGACAAAAAAUUUCCACAGAAUCUACGAAGAUAAAGAAACAAAAAUAUAUCUAGUGAGGAUAAGGCUGUACCAUUGGUUUCCGAAGAUAAGGUUGUCGAUGAUGCAUCAAAGACUAGCCAAAAAGUGUGCUGUUCUUUAGGUGGACGAUGGAAACUCUCCUGCAUCAAGUAGGAUUACCCUCACCUCCCCUUGCUGAAAGAGCUUUCCCAUGGAUCAGAAGCAGCUCAAACCUCGUACACCACACUAAUCUUCUCCAUGCACUGAGAUCUUCAAAAAGAAGAGCAGCACGGCUGCAAGCCCAAGGGAGAGGCUUUGGUGUGUCUGUCUCAGAUAGGAAGGCCAGGCCAGAAGAAGAUGACGGCGUGUACCGCAGCGAAGACGGGGACGACGAGAUUCCACAAGUGGUGUUCGAUAGGAUGAUACGACGCAUAGUGUUCUCUGUGGGGGCUCCAAUGGCGUCCGGCAUCGGAGUGCUGUAUCUCGAAAGCUUUCUUAAGAAAAGCCAGCUAUGGGAAGUACCGGGAUGGCUGCCAUUGCUGACCAUCCUGCUGUCCUUCGGGACGUCCGCCUUGGGGAUUGCUUAUGGGACGCUAUCCACUAGCUGGGAUCCAAACAAGGAAGGAAGCCUCCUUGGGUGGGAGCAAGCUCGGAAGAAUUGGCCUGAGCUGUGGAAGGACGAAGAAGACGAAAGCAAAUGAUCUGAUGCCUCGAGCUACAUAGAAUUUUCUCGACUGUAAUCCAUGUUUACUGUUGCUACUCUGUUCAUGCAACACCCUAAAUGACCUUCUUCUACGGUUGUUAUGUCGGCCAAAAUAUAAGCUUGAUGAUGAAUGGAUAGCGAAGGCCUUGCGAACUUAUCUAUGACUCUGUAGAAUUUCUUACAUGAUCAAUGCAAAUCAAAUCUUUGGAUUACUUGUGGAGUUGGUGUGUUCAAAAUGCUGAUAGUUGUGUGCUCAAUACCAAAACGAAUGAGAUUUCAGGAUAAAGAAGAGGAAUGAGGACUGAAACAAUGAGGUGUUGAGCAUAAAUUGUGAGGUUUUAAUUCGUUCUUUGAAGAACAAAUUUAGGGAAGGAGAAUUUUGCAGAUACGACAUUUAGCUGGUGCUCUGCGUCUGCGUCUCAGAAGUGGCGGCGAGUUCGAAGACUGGAAUAGCCACGGCGGAGAAGAUCGGGUGUUUGCUCGUAGCCGGAGAACACACAUUGCCAUACAUCAGCGAACGCGCGGAGAAUGGUGCCGUGGUGUCGCGGAGAGUUGAGGGCAAGGAACCGGCGGAGCAGCUCCCUCAACCCUGCACCGUCCACGAUUUCCUCCUCGACGAUCAUAUGCAGCAACGACCGCCGAAACUCACCGAGUGGAUUCUCCGUCUCUUUCACCACCACGACGCCGUCCUCCGCUCUUCUCCCUCCUUGGCUGCUGCUACGACAGUUCACCCUCUUCUCUUCCUUUCCGCCGUAGACGCUCGAAGAAGCGUGGCUCCCCCAAGCCAACACGCUCUGCUCCAGCUCGUUGAGCUGGCGUAGAAGCUCGGGGAAGCUGGGCGUGCUUGCCGAGCUUUCCGUCUUCACCUCCGCAUCAUCCUCCUCGUAGGAGGAGGAGGUUUCGGAUGUCAGGGUGAGGGUGAGGGUAUCCGCAGAAGAGAAAUCCCCGACCCUGGGCACCUGUGGCGGCGUCAACGUCGACUUGCCGCCCGAGCUGCCAGGCACCGAAACCGAUUUGGAGUCGGUACAGCCGCAGGCAAGUGACAGAAACGAGCCACUUCUCCUCUUCUGCACGUUUGUACUCAUCUUCUCUUUCUCUUCUCUUCUCUUCUCUUCAAGGUGUCCUGAAGACGAAAUCACCACCCAGUACAUCCGCCUCCAACUAGAAGCAGAUGGUCGGUCCCCUCGUCAGAGUGUAACGUCGAUAUAGAUUGGCCUGCAAGGAUCAGUACAUGCACACGCAGCUAAGCUCAUGGAACUUUGCAUGCAGGGAGACUUUUGUUGUGUGUGAGAAGGGGAGGAGGUCAGCGUUGAGCGCAGACAAAAAGAUCAACUGUGGAGGAGUUCUUCGAGUGCCUGACAGCUAAGGUAUGAUCAAGCUGAUGGGCAUGUCCCAACCAUCGAAGAUGGCUGACGUAUAGGGGGAGGAAGAAGAAGCCAAAGCAGAGAAAAAUACAGGUAUUCCGUAUUUUUAGUGAUAUAUUGGAUGUCUAUUUGGACAUACCAUUUGGGAUGUCGGAGAACAGAACAAGAUAUGAAAUCGAUGUGUUUGCCUGUGAUGUAAUCCACCUCCGCCAAUUGUUGGGACGAUUAAUUUUGUGAAUACGUUCUCAUUAAAUCAUUCGAAUGAAAUAAAUUACUAGGGUUGGGAUCCUCGAGACAAAAUCUAAUUUAGAUUUUGAUCCAUAUAGUUUUGUUCUUUGGUCGACUCCAUAAUAGGUCUUAUGGACCAACUUUUAAAUGAAUCUACAGAGAACUAAAGGCUUAUAUAGGCCGGCGGUUGGGUUUAUGUGAUAGAUUAUGUCCUCGCACAAUGAUCAAAGAUAUGAUGGAAACAAAAUAAAUGAUGUGUAGUGACUUGAGAGACCAGCCGCUUCUUUGUUGCUUGUUUUAGGAAGUUUGAUGGAACACGUUGUAUAUGAUAUGGGAAGCUGUUGGCCAAUGCUCGUCGCUUGAUUCGACACCAGACAUAGCAUAAAUCAAUAUGAUGAGACUGGAGGCAGUCGCAAGCUAUCAAAGUACAGGAAGGGAGAAGAUGAGGAUCAAAUGAAUUGAAGUGAGAAGGAGAGAAGUUUAAAUUAUUAUGAGAGGAUGAAGGGGUGACUUGCAUCGUUGGAAAAGACACACUUGUAUUGAUGCAUGAGAAUCCAAGUUUAGUUUUGUGGGGAUCUAAUUAAUAUUAUGCAUGCGUCCCCACGACUUGGAGUUGUCACAUCUUGGAUUGCAACUCAUCAUGGUGAUGAGCUCUGUGGGUUGGCAAUAUUGGAACUGUGGGUGUGACUGUUGGUGGUGGCGAUCCUGACAGCAGCAAUGAUUACCGGCAAAAAAUUAUUCAUCUUGACCAAAGCUCUACACAGAUUGAGGAGGCCGAAGACAUGAUCGAAGUUAAUCUGGUUGAUUCAGAUAUCAUUAGCGAGGGACAAUCUCUUCGUGAAAAGAGCCUUACAUAUUAUAGUUUAGUCCUAUGUUACAUGGAGAGUAAAAAAAACAAAUUGAAUAAAUUUAUAAUCUUAGAUUAGUCUAUUAUUAUUAACUUAGUUUAGGUAUUUUGAAUCAAGAAAUUAAUGAAGUAAUGUGAUGGAACUAUCGUUGUGCGAAGGAAGAAAGAAAGGAUGCAAGUGUAAUCUUUUUUCAAUUAGUAGUAAAAAGGAACUACUAGUCUAAAAUCAAAUCAAAUAAAAAAAAGAGAAAUCAACGACAAAGAAAAAUUUUAUUGAACUUCUAAAAAGAAAAAAUACUUACGAUCUUAAAUGAUUCUUAGAUUUAGACUUGAAAACUUGAGGCUUUUUUUAAUUGAUAUACAUAUACGUACCACCUAUUUAUAGAUAUAAAAUAUAAGAGACUUUAAUCUCUAUGACUCUAUCUAAUUUUUUUUGAAAUCUUCUAAAAUAUAUUUUAAACUAAGAAUGUCUUAUCUAUAAAACUCUAUAUAAUCUUAUUUAAAAUAUAAAAUAUUAAUUNNNNNNNNNNNNNNNNNNNNCUAUGACUCUAUCUAAUUUUUUUUUGAAAUCUUCUAAAAUAUAUUUUAAACUAAGAAUGUCUUAUCUAUAAAACUCUAUAUAAUCUUAUUUAAAAUAUAAAAUAUUAAUUUAUGAUCUUUCAAAAUAUAUUUUAACUUCUUCACACUCCCCCUUAAAGUAUGUUUUUAGAGAUAAGUUCCAACUUAAUUGGAAGGUCAUGCCCAUAACUGCCACCAAGUAUGGGAUCAUAUGUAAAAAUAUGAUCUCGACAAAACUGUUCUCUAAGGUAUACGUGAAUUUUACCAUACGGAUCCUUUUUUAUACUAUUCGAAAAUCUACUUGAAUCAAGUUGCUUCAUUUAAUAACUUGUAGGACCAUCUAAAAUACCUUUUGACUAAGAUCCUGAUCCAAGCUUAUUAGAUGUAAUACCACUAAAAUUUCAAACUGGACUUCGUAUAAAAAGCACAACAUCGAUACAAUACAAUGAUCAAAUUCAAGAAUAGACUUGUGCAAAUUAAAAAUGGUAUUAAAUUCCUCAUGAAAACCAACAGGAAAUGAUCUGAAUCUUUCAUAUGGCAAAGGCCUAAAAGUAUCUUUAGGCAAUCCAUGAGCAAAAAUAGAAUCAUGUAUGCCAUCAAUUUAAAAUUUCCCUAGAAUCACAUUAGCCUUAACAUCUUUAGCUUCAUAACAAGUAGGCUCAAGUUCAAAAAUAAGAAAUAGUGAGAUAUGUUUACAUUGUCUCCAUCUUUGUAACGUGCUAGUUUGACAAUAAUUCUUUUUUUAUAUUUUUAAUGUUAGAAUUUCUUCUUCAUGAACAUAAUGACUCUGCUUAUUACUUUGCUUCAUCAUUAGUGAUGAUGAAAUAAUAUGAAUAUAUAUAGAUGAGGAAGGAGAUGAACCAAAACCUAUAAGAGCAUUAGAUAACAAAGGAAUCUCAACCACAAGUUUUGCACAUGUAUUAUUUUUGUUAUUGUGAUUGAUAUUUAAUUCUUUUAUAUCAUAAAGAAACUUGUUUUCAUUAGGACAAAAAAGAACAUAAUUUUCAAUAUCAAUUGUAUUUGUAACAUAGAAGAGAUUUUUCUUUAUAACUAGAAUAUGAUAUAAUAGGAUCAUUGUAUGAGAUUAUGAUAGUAUCUUCCUUUUUCACUUGAUGAACGGUGUUAUCUAUCAUGAUAAUUGCAUCAUUAUCUUCAUAUCGAUAAAGAUUGAUGAAUUUGGUACAUCAAUAAUGGGAUGAUAACCACAUCCUAAAUCAACAAUUCAUCAUUUUCAAAAUUGGUAGAUAUCAUGGCCUUAGUAGUUUCAAUCAUAAAACAUUUGCCCCAAUCUUCAUCAGUAGCAUUAAAACAAUCUUCUUUAUUUAUAAUAUUUUCUUCUUUAAUCUUCAUUAUUCUUAAUAUGGCCUAACUUGCCACACUUAUAACACUUGAUCUUCUUUUGAUUUAUACUAUUAUUUGAAUAAGACUCUUACUUGUUAUUAGCAUCAUCAUUUUUCUCUUUAUCUUUAUCAUUACCUUUUUUUAUUUGUAAAAAGAAUAUCUUUAUCUCCCCCUAAAGUAGAAAAUCCUAUCAUUUGACGAGCUAAGGAUUCCUGAGAAUCAAGAAGAUUUCCUAACUCUACUAAGAAUGACUGCUGAACGCAUCCUUGAAAUGAUAUACCAUAAGGAAUAUAUUCUUUUUAAGAACCACGAAUAAUAUAGCAUUUCAUUCAAGCAUCAAAAAUUGGUUCAUAUGGAUCUAAGAGUGAUAUCUCUUUAACAUAAAUUUUAAUCUUCAAAAAAUACUAAGAAAUUAAGAGAUCACCUAUUUAUCAAAUCAUUCUCACCUAUGAAUAAUGUCUUCAAAGAUAUCAUGAGAAAUAGAUCUUUUUAAUAUAAAUUCAAUUUUUGCAUUUAAAAUUCUUCAUCUUUUCAUGCCAUCUUCAUGUACAGCAUCUUGUGCUGUUGUUGCAUUGUCACCAAUCAUAUCUCAUAGAUCUUCUCCUAUGAGAUAAGACUCCAAACAAAUCUUUUAGAUCUUAUUGUUAUAUUGAUUGAGAAAUUCAAUACUAAAUCCACCAACUUUACUAUAAUAUUUCAUAGUCACAAAAGAUUAUCUUCUUUACUAAGGAGAUCUUGAAAAUACAGAUUAUCACUAUUGUGACUCUGAUACCAUAUAAAGAAAGGGAGGAUCACAUGCAGGUACAAUCUUUUCUAUACUACUAAUAAUGUACUACUAGCCCAAGAUCAAACUAAAUAGAAAAAAAAAAACUAAGGUGAAAAAAAAAAUUUAUUGAACUUUUUAAAAAGAAAAAUAUUUAUAGAUCUAGAACACGACUCUUAAACUUGAAUACUUGAAGCUUUUUUUAAUUGAUAUAUAUAUAUAUAUAUAUAUAUAUAUAUAUAUAUAUAUAUAUAUAUCACAUAUUUAUAGAUAUAAAAUAUAAGAGUCCCUGAUCUCUAUAACUCUGUCUAAUCAUAUUUGAAAUCUUCUAAAAUAUGUUUUAAACUAAAAAUUUUAUAUUUCUAAAAUUUUAUCUAAUCUUAUUUAAAAUAUAAAAUAUUAAUUUAUCAUCUUUCAAAAUAUACUUUAACUUAAUCGACAAGGGUUUUAUUUUGAACUAUAUUAUCUACGUAAUUGAAUGAAAUUUUAAUAUUUUGGAAGAGAACACUCCAAAAUGAUUAUCCGAAUUUUAAUACGGCAGGACCAACUUAAAAAUUACCAGUAGCAGCUACUAACCAUUUUUAUGUGCAGUUGGAUCUUCUUGCAGGAUAGCUACUAACCAAUGCGUCGCGUAUGGCUUUUGGUAAGCUUAGUAUUUGAUAAGGUGGCCUGAAGGGCCCAAAGUUUAGUAGGAUGUCAUUUGAUUCUGUGGCAUCCUUUGGCAGAGGAGCAAAUAGGCAUUUAUAAGGACACUAUUAUCUAAUAUUACCUUUUAACUUUAGCUGCCUUUGCAUUCGCUCUUGAAUCUAUCUGCACGCACUCCGAGCAAAAGUGGAAAUCACUUUUUCCCACCUUGUCCAGAUGCUUUAAAAGCUGUGUGUGGCUUAGAUCAUACGCUAUCAGAGGGAGAAUGGUGAACGGACGUCCACCGAACUGAGGAAUGAGGAGGCCAUGGCAGGACCGAGAGAAGAAAAUGUGUAGGCCUACUGUUCCAACUUUUGGGUAAAAGAUGAAGAAGCUCUUUUGUGCUAUAAAACUAGUCUGCUUGAGGCUUCCUAUAAUUUAUGCCUACUUUGUUAUUCUUCGUUUUACUUCUGUGCUAUAAAAAUGAUUUUUUUUUCUUUCGCUUUUAGCAUCAUUUAUGAAUAAUUUUUUCUUACUUAAUCCUUCGUUAUAUGUCCAAACUUUGAUACUAUUUAUCAUGAUCUAAUUUAAUGAGAUAACUGAAUCGUUAAUUUGAUGAUAAUAUAUAUAUCGUGAUGAAAAUAAUAGAAGUUAAAAAUAAUCAUCGAAGAAACUUUAUUGAAGAAACUUUAGUGAAGAAGUGAAGAAGCUUAAAUACAUUAACAUAUCUCUCUCCGAUUAGGAAGAAGAAUUUUCCUCAACAGAAUAAAGGAUGGAGCCUCUUAGAAAUUUGGCUACAGCGAUGUUGGUCGCUGGCCGAAGACAAGGGGCUGGCCGAAGGCAAGAGCAAUGCUUCACUUUUCUGACUCUGAUACUAAAAUAAUAAAAGAUAAAAAUAAUUAUUGAAGGAGUAAAGAAGCUUAAAUAUAUUAACAUGUCUCACUCUUAUUUAUAUAGAUUAGGAAAAUCUAACGUAUGAUUCACGCAGAAUCUAUCAUCGCAACCAUUUGACUUACAGUCACCUCCCAACAUGUCAGAGUUACUAUUGGAAUAUGCCAACAUCAUCCACAGUCAUGACUUAGGUGUCCUGCACAUGGAGGCCGUCUGUGGGAUUCCGACGGUCUCCAUUUGGUCGAACCUCCUUUAACAUGCCUUCUUCUUCUUCUUCUUCUUAGCAGGUGGUGAAGGUAAAAGAAGUGGGAUCCAAGUUAUCACGUACCAUACAAGUCGAUCUCCGGCCUGUGACGGUGGCUUGCCACCCCCACCCCCCACUGCACAUAUGUGAGCCAGCUGAAGGCUUCAAUGACGAACUCACUCUCGCUUUAAUGAAACUUGCCGUCGAUGUCCCCGCAUCAGAUCUUGAUGACAGUGCAGCACAUUGGAUCAAUUACUCUGUCGAUUGCCACUCGGAAGAGUUCUUCCUAUACUUAAUUCAUAUCCAUCCAUUGUCCGAUCAUGCGUAUAGAUUAAUAUACCACUUCCUGCAUAUCCAUGUUUGUUGAGAGUCAAAGAAACUCUUCGUUCCAAAUCCAUUGAAUCAAGAAAAGCAAAGCCAUGUAUGUUGAUGCUGAUGAAUUAGGCUUAAGGCAGUCUGCGUCUCUCUUUUUAGACUGAAGGAUUCUUGUUUUACAUCCGUCAGCUUCACCAAAGCUUUUAAGGGUGUAAAAUUCUGACCGUUCAGUGUGCAAUUGCUUUGUGUUCUUGUCUUUCUGCCUCAUCUCUAUGUCCUAUUUUGUUGUCCUCCUACAACAAAUAAUACACUCCUGUGAUUGCGUUUUAGGCAAUGCCUGCCUCUCUCUCUCUCUCCGGUAUAGUGCUUCAGCAAGACGUGGGAGACCAUCUCGCUUCGAGUGCCGGUGAAAUGCUCGACCUUUCCUGGUUUGGGACGAAACUUCUUUCGCUCUAUACCCUAUUCCGUUCCGACACUGUGGCAUCCCAAUAGAAAGUCCCAUUCGGGCUUACCCAACGAAGCCACUUCCGAGCCUUCAAGGCGUAUAAAGUACAAGUAUGCUGCUAAAGCUUUCUGGCGAUAUGCCCUCUGUAGAACCGUGUCAAGCUAAGGAUGGAGUGAUAAUUGAAGAGAUGCAUGACGAAUGAGAGAGAAGGAGAGAAUAAGAAGGCUUAGCAAGAGAACGAUCCAGACCAUGCCAUCGUCCACCAACCUUGCAGAAUAGGAUGACGAAUGAGGUGACAAGGAGGUACCUUUUUCUCGCUCCACACCACGCAAAAUACAGUCGCCCCCCCUAUAAUUCUCCCGUUCGUGUCGCUCCAUUUUGCGUAGGAGACCUGCCUACUUGGAUCCCCAUCACCGUUUCCUCUGCCGCCUUUCCCUUCCCUUCCUUGGAUCACUUUUCUUCUUCUCCAAACAGAUACCUCCACCCCUCUCUGCCUCUCCUUCUCUUGGUCAUUCGCAUCUGCAGUUUGUGGCUGCUUCAAGGGAUGAAGGUGAGAUGUAUUCUUUUUUAUGCAUUUUGGAUUCCUUCCUCCUGUCCUGAUGAUGGCUCGCUAAUUUUUAUUGGAUUCCGCCAUCGUAUUCUUGGGGCCUCUAGUAGAUCUUCUGAUGUCGUGAAGAGGAAUCAUCCCGUUUAUUCUUGUAGAAUGAUUCUGAUGGAACUUUUCAUUUUCUCUCUUCUUUUGAGAGAGAAAAGCUUUCAUCUUUAUCUUCGUCACUAGAGAUCUUUAAUUCUGAUGGUUCAAUCUCUGAAGAGCUUUGUUUGGUUACAUCUCUUCCAAGUCUAUGAGUAGGCGACAGAGUUUAAGCCUCUAAUGUGAUCAUCCAUUCAUUCAUCGGUGUGACUUGUAGAAAAUUGUGUUGAAAUUGGACUUGCAUGAUGAUAAGGAAAAGCAGAAGGCCAUGAAGACUGUCUCUACCCUUCAAGGUAUCGUAUGCUCCACCUUUUCGCUCUCGUAGCGUAUUCUUUGUUUCUUGUAAGUCAAUUUCCAUUAAUUUAGAUAUCAGAAUUCACUAGAUAAAACAGAGUCCAUUCAGUACAGAAGCUAGAAUGACUGCUUCGCAUCAUACUGUAUCGAACAGGGAUCGAUUCCAUUGCGAUGGAUAUGAAAGAGAAGAAGAUGACGGUGAUCGGUUCCGUCGAUCCCGUGAGCGUCGUGAGCAAAUUGAGAAAAUUCUGGCACACCAACUUAGUCUCAGUUGGACCUGCGAAGGAGGAGAAGAAGGAGGAGCCUAAGAAGGAGGAGCCUAAGAAGGAGGAACCCAAGAAGGAGGAAGCCAAGGAGGAGCCCAAGAAGGAGGAACCCAAGAAGGCGGAGGAGAAGAAAGAGGAACCCAAGAAAGAGGAGAAGAAGGAAGAAAAGGAAGAGAAGAAAGAGGAGCCCAAGAAGGAGGAGAAGAAGGAGCCCCACGACCAAAUGAUAGCGGACAUGGUGAGAGCAUACAAGGCCUACAACCCUCACAUGACCACCUACUACUACAUGCACAGCGCCGAAGAGAAUCCAAAUUCUUGCAGCAUCCUGUGAUCAUCGUCGCGUCUCCAGAAAAGAACCAGAAAAGAAGAAGAAGAAGAUGGCAUAAUAACUCCGUGGGGCGAUUUCCCUCGACGACUCUGUGGAGUGACUAGUCGAAACUCUGCUACUUGGCUUGAAGCAAAGUGUGUGUAACGUAUUCGAGGUGGCCCUGUACAUAUGGCUAUGUGGUGAUGAUGAUGAUGAUGAUAUGGGCAAAUAAAGUGAUCAGUUUUGAUUCCUUGUCAAUUUCUCCCAUAAAAUUUUGACAUUAUUACAUGUAUCUGAAGAGGGUUUUGGACCUCAUUCUUGAUCUCGAUGGCAUAUCUUUGUCAUGUCGUUCGACUUGAAUAUCCUGUAGGA